CUCAAGAUGGCCGCACCCAUGUGCCGCUGUAGACUCGGCAGACGCCACUGCCGGUUUUCUUAUUCUAAGAUCUAAAGAAAAAGAUGAGAACGUGGCUAUCGGAGAUGAAGGGGCAGGGCUCCCUCAGGGAGUGAAGCGACAAUGUGUCCCGUGGCGCAGGAGAAUGAACUGGGAGAUGGGGCUUCGGCCUCGGAAGCGUGAGCCCCCGUCGCUACAACAGUCCGCGCGGAGCCCACUCGCCUCCCGUUGCUGGAGGCGCUUCCCCAGCUUGUCGCAGAAAAUGGUCGCACACUUUUGUCGCCUCAUCUAGCCUCGGUGGGAGCUACGUCAGAACCUUUGUCCCAGAAAGGCGCCACGUUGCUUAUUGGCAGCGACAUCCCCACACCCUGGUCCUGCGCGUGCGCAGCACUCGGGCUCCCAGGUCUCAGCAGAGCGGAAGUGCUCUGCUGACCCCGAGGGCGGCGCAAGUGGACGCUAGCCAUUUUUCACCCAGAGACCUCGGGUUCCCGGUAGUGGCGAAACGUCAGCCUUCAGGGACGUGUUUGUGGACUUCACCUUGGAGGAGUGGCAGCAGCUGGACGCCGCUCAGAAGACCCUCUACAGGGAUGUCACGCUGGAGAACUACAGCCACCUGCUCUCCGUGGGAUACCUCGUGGCCCAGCCAGAGGGGAUCUUCAGCUUGGGACAAGCAGAGGGGGCCGGGAAGGCAGAUGGAGAAGCCCCAACGCGGAGCGGACCAGGUGAGCGGGCGCCGGGCCAGUCAGGCCGGGGCAAGGGGACCUGGUGGGCCAGCCAGAGCUUGGCCUCGGGGGCGUGCCCGGGAGCUCUUCUCAGAAAGCCCAGACUUGGGGACAAGACCCGGGUCGGAUGGAACGAGCCCUGUAACACCCACAUGAUGCCUCACCUGCCGCCCCUCUGCAGCCCCUUAUUCUACCCCUUUCCUCACCUGUAAAACUUAGCUGAUAAUCUAUGUCAUAGGAUUUGGUUACAGAGUAAAGAACUAUGGAGACAUUUAUUUUUAUAAAACACAGAGAUAUUAAAAUCACUGGAUACCCAGUCUUAAGAUACAAAAUAUAAGGGAGUUCCCGUCGUGGAGCAGCAGAAACAAAUCCAACUAGGAACCAUGAGAUUUUGGGUUCCAUCCCUGGCCUCGCUCAGUGGGUUAAGGGUUAAGGAUCCGGCGUUGCUGUGAGCUGUGGUGUAGGUCACAGACACGGCUCAGAUCCCGUGUGGCUGUGGCUCUGGCGUAGGCGGGUG
rnacentral:lncRNA from 1 species